rnacentral:rRNA from 1 species
UGGAGGCCUUCGGGUUGUAAACCUCUUUUAUCGGGGAGCAAGCGUGAGUGAGUUUACCCGUUGAAUAAGCNCCGGCUAACUACGUGCCAGCAGCCGCGGUAAUACGUAGGGUGCAAGCGUUAUCCGGAAUUAUUGGGCGUAAAGGGCUCGUAGGCGGUUCGUCGCGUCCGGUGUGAAAGUCCAUCGCUUAACGGUGGAUCCGCGCCGGGUACGGGCGGGCUUGAGUGCGGUAGGGGAGACUGGAAUUCCCGGUGUAACGGUGGAAUGUGUAGAUAUCGGGAAGAACACCAAUGGCGAAGGCAGGUCUCUGGGCCGUUACUGACGCUGAGGAGCGAAAGCGUGGGGAGCGAACAGGAUUAGAUACCCUGGUAGUCCACGCCGUAAACGGUGGAUGCUGGAUGUGGGGCCCGUUCCACGGGUUCCGUGUCGGAGCUAACGCGUUAAGCAUCCCGCCUGGGGAGUACGGCCGCAAGGCUAAAACUCAAAGAAAUUGACGGGGGCCCGCACAAGCGGCGGAGCAUGCGGAUUAAUUCGAUGCAACGCGAAGAACCUUACCUGGGCUUGACAUGUUCCCGACGAUCCCAGAGAUGGGGUUUCCCUUCGGGGCGGGUUCACAGGUGGUGCAUGGUCGUCGUCAGCUCGUGUCGUGAGAUGUUGGGUUAAGUCCCGCAACGAGCGCAACCCUCGCCCCGUGUUGCCAGCGGAUUAUGCCGGGAACUCACGGGGGACCGCCGGGGUUAACUCGGAGGAAGGUGGGGAUGACGUCAGAUCAUCAUGCCCCUUACGUCCAGGGCUUCACGCAUGCUACAAUGGCCGGUACAACGGGAUGCGACGCGGCGACGCGGAGCGGAUCCCUGAAAACCGGUCUCAGUUCGGAUCGCAGUCUGCAACUCGACUGCGUGAAGGCGGAGUCGCUAGUAAUCGCGAAUCAGCAACGUCGCGGUGAAUGCGUUCCCGGGCCUUGUACACACCGCCCGUCAAGUCAUGAAAGUGGGCAGCACCCGAAGCCGGUGGCCUAACCCCUUGUGGGANGGAGCCG